UUUUGUAGAAUUGUAACUGCCA
rnacentral:piRNA from 1 species